rnacentral:rRNA from 1 species
CUUUUUGAUUUAAAUAUAAAGUAUAACCUGCCCAUUGAAAUUUUUAAAAGGCUGCGGUAUAUUGACCGUACAAAGGUAGCAUAAUCAUUAGUUUUUUAAUUGGAAACUCGUAUGAAUGGUUGAAUGAGGAAUAAACUUUUUUAAUAGAAAAAUUGAAUUUUACAUUUUAAUUAAAAGGUUAAAAUAUAUUUAAAAGACGAGAAGACCCUAUAGAGUUUUAUAAUUUAUAUUUAAUGUUAAAAAAAAUUAAUAAAUAUUUUUAUUUAAAUAAUUAUUUUGUUGGGGUGAUGAUAAAAUUUAAUUAACUUUUAUUUUUUUUUACAUUAAUAAAUGAAUAAUUGAUCCACUAAUAGUGAUUAAAAAAUUAAAUUACCUUAGGGAUAACAGCGUAAUUUUUUUUUUAAGUUCAUAUUAAUAAAAAAUUUUGCGACCUCGAUGUUGGAUUAAGAUUUAAUUUUAGGUGCAGAAGUUUAAAAUUUAAGUCUGUUCGACUUUUAAAUUCUU